rnacentral:rRNA from 1 species
UACGUAGGGGGCGAGCGUUGUCCGGAUUCAUUGGGCGUAAAGAGCUCGUAGGCGGCUUGGUAAGUCGGGUGUGAAACCUCCAGGCUCAACCUGGAGACGCCACUCGAUACUGCCAUGGCUAGAGUCCGGUAGGGGCCCACGGAAUUCCUGGUGUAGCGGUGAAAUGCGCAGAUAUCAGGAGGAACACCGGUGGCGAAGGCGGUGGGCUGGGCCGGUACUGACGCUGAGGAGCGAAAGCGUGGGGAGCGAACAGG